rnacentral:rRNA from 1 species
CCUACGGGAGGCAGCAGUGGGGAAUAUUGCACAAUGGGCGAAAGCCUGAUGCAGCGACGCCGCGUGAGGGAUGACGGCCUUCGGGUUGCAAACCUCUUUCAGCACGGAAGAAGCGAAAGUGACGGUACGUGCAGAAGAAGCGCCGGCUAACUACGUGCCAGCAGCCGCGGUAAU